GCAAAUUAACUCAAAAUCAAAUGGCUAAUGUUUUCAAGGAUUCUGUGUGGUUUGGCUUGGCCCAGGGAGUGACACUAUUAGGAGGUGUGGCCUUGUUAGAGUAGGCGUAGCCUUGUCAGAGGAAGUGUGUCACAUUGGGGGUGAGCUUUGAGACCCCCUUCUAGCUGUUUGGGAGACGGUCAGUCUCUCCUGACUAUCUUCCCAUGAAGAUAUAGAACUCUUAGCUCCUUCUCCAGCACCAUGCCUGCCUGGACACUGCCAUGCUUCCUGCCAUGAUGAUAAUGGACUGAACCUCUGAACCAGGGAUCCAGUAACUUUUAGGAGAGCUGGAGCAAAUGACCAGAGAAGGAAAGGCAUGGCACACCGAGACUACACUUGGCUUCCCAAGGCAAAUGCAAUGGAGCUAUGGAACAUUUGUUCUUUGUUUCCCUUAGAAUGAACGGUUUUGCCUGUUAUGAUUUAUUAGCUGUGUACUGCAUGUGUUUCUGGUGCCCACAGACAUCUGAAGAAGGCAUCAGGUGCUCUAGAACUGGGAAUGUGAUCCAUCCUGUGAGCUCUCUGCAAACAGCUCCUGUGCCUUCAACUACUGAGCCAUCUCUCUACCUUGCCUGUGUGUCCCAACCUCCAACUAAUAUUCCAGUGGCAUGGACACAUCACAGUUGGUUUAGCCAUUCAGGUAUUGGAGGAUAUUGGGAUUGUUCCCUUUGCCACCCAUCUUCUCAGGUCCCAAGGCUCUGCUUGAACUGGAAAUGACUUUGGUGUUCAUAAUUGUCAGGUCCUAGUCACUAUAUGAAAGAUAAGAGGAGAGGAAUAUGGUUGGUUUUCAAGUUAGACAUGACACAAAGCCAAAAAUGAUGAAACAAUAUCACCUAGGUACUGAAAGAAAACAGCAGCAACAGCAGCAGCAGUAACAACAGCAGCAGCAGCAACACCAGCACCAGCAGGAACGGCAGCAAUAGCAACAGCAGCAGCAACAUCAACAGCAGUAACAGCAAUGGCAACAACAGCACCACCAACAGCAACACCAGGACCAGCAGCAGUAGGAACGGCAGCAAUAGCAACAGCACCAGCACCAGCAACAGCAGUAACAGCAAUGGCAACAACAGCACCAGCAGCAACAGCACCAA